GGAGGAAAAGAACUAACAAGGAUUCCCCUAGUAACUGCGAGUGAAGCGGGAAAAGCUCAAAUUUAAAAUCUGGCGGUCUCUGGCUGUCCGAGUUGUAAUCUAGAGAAGUGAUGCCCGCGCUGGACCGUGUACAAGUCUCCUGGAAUGGAGCGUCAUAGAGGGUGAGAAUCCCGUCUCUGACACGGACUACCAGGGCUUUGUGGUACGCUCUCAAAGAGUCGAGUUGUUUGGGAAUGCAGCUCAAAAUGGGUGGUAAAUUCCAUCUAAAGCUAAAUAUUGGCGAGAGACCGAUAGCGAACAAGUACCGUGAGGGAAAGAUGAAAAGAACUUUGGAAAGAGAGUUAAACAGUACGUGAAAUUGCUGAAAGGGAAACGCUUGAAGUCAGUCGCGUUGGCCGGGGAUCAGCCUCGCUCUUUUGCGUGGUGUACUUUCCGGUUGACGGGUCAGCAUCAAUUUUGACCGCUGGAAAAAGGCUUGAGGAAUGUGGCAGCUCCGGCUGUGUUAUAGCUUCAUGUCAYAUACAGCGGUUGGGAUUGAGGAACUCAGCACGCCGCAAGGCCGGGUUUCGACCACGUCCGUGCUUAGGAUGCUGGCAUAAUGGCUUUA
rnacentral:rRNA from 1 species